rnacentral:rRNA from 1 species
GACGAACGCUGGCGGCGUGCCUAAUACAUGCAAGUCGAACGAACCGCGACUAAGUGCUUGCACUAAGUCAAGGUGAGUGGCGAACGGGUGAGUAACACGUGGGUAACCUACCUCAUAGUGGGGGAUAACAGUCGGAAACGACUGCUAAUACCGCAUAGGACAUAGGAUCACAUGAUCCAGUGAGGAAAGGUGGCGCAAGCUAUCGCUAAGAGAUGGACCCGCGGUGCAUUAGCUAGUUGGUAGGGUAAAGGCCUACCAAGGCGAUGAUGCAUAGCCGACCUGAGAGGGUGAUCGGCCACAUUGGGACUGAGACACGGCCCAAACUCCUGCGGGAGGCAGCAGUAGGGAAUCUUCCGCAAUGGACGCAAGUCUGACGGAGCAACGCCGCGUGAGUGAAGAAGGUCUUCGGAUCGUAAAGCUCUGUUGUUAGAGAAGAACAGCGCAUAGAGUAACUGCUAUGCGUGUGACGGUAUCUAACCAGAAAGCCACGGCUAACUACGUG